rnacentral:pre_miRNA from 1 species
UGACAGGAAAGCCCUGGAGUGUUAUGUCGCCCUCUGCCUUCGGCAUCGGGCGACAUAACACUCCAGGGCUUUCCUGUCAC